rnacentral:rRNA from 1 species
CCUACGGGUGGCUGCAGUCGAGGAUCUUCGGCAAUGGGCGCAAGCCUGACCGAGCGACGCCGCGUGUGCGACGAAGGCCUUCGGGUUGUAAAGCACUGUCGAGGGGGAGGAAGGCGCAAGCUUGACCUAUCCCUGGAGGAAGCACGGGCUAAGUUCGUGCCAGCAGCCGCGGUAAGACGAACCGUGCGAACGUUGUUCGGAAUCACUGGGCUUAAAGGGCGCGUAGGCGGGCGGGCAAGUCCGCGGUGAAAGCCUCUGGCUUAACCAGAGAAGGGCCGCGGGUACUGCUCGUCUGGAGGCGGGUAGGGGCGUCUGGAACCAUGGGUGGAGCGGUGAAAUGCGUUGAUAUCCAUGGGAACUCCGGUGGCGAAAGCGAGGCGCUGGACCCGCACUGACGCUGAGGCGCGAAAGCCAGGGGAGCGAACGGGAUUAGAUACCCCAGUAGUC